rnacentral:rRNA from 1 species
UACGUAGGGUGCGAGCGUUAAUCGGAAUUACUGGGCGUAAAGCGUGCGCAGGCGGUUUUGUAAGACAGAGGUGAAAUCCCCCGGCUUAACCUGGGAACUGCGUCUGAUACUGGACGGCUUGAGUAUGGGAGAGGGAUGUAGAAUUCCAGGUGUAGCGGUGAAAUGCGUAGAUAUCUGGAGGAAUACCGGUGGCGAAGGCGGCGUCCUGGACCAUUACUGACGCUGAGGCGCGAAAGCUAGGGGAGCAAACGGG